ACUUAUCUACUGCUAAGGUUUCCACUAUAGAUACAAUAAAAAAGUGUCCUUUCUGUCUGUCUGAUUGUGGCAGCUAAGACUGAGCAGAGGAAUACAUGG
rnacentral:snoRNA from 1 species